UACGUAGGGUGCAAGCGUUAUCCGGAUUCACUGGGUUUAAAGGGUGCGUAGGUGGUCAGGUAAGUCAGUGGUGAAAUCUCCGGGCUUAACUCGGAAACUGCCAUUGAUACUAUCUUUCUUGAAUACCGUGGAGGUCAGCGGAAUAUGUCAUGUAGCGGUGAAAUGCUUAGAUAUGACAUAGAACACCAAUUGCGAAGGCAGCUGGCUACACGAAUAUUGACACUGAUGCACGAAAGCGUGGGGAUCAAACAGG
rnacentral:rRNA from 1 species